rnacentral:rRNA from 1 species
UACGAAGGGGGGCUAGCGUUGUUCGGAUUUACUGGGCGUAAAGCGCACGUAGGCGGACUAUUAAGUCAGGGGUGAAAUCCCGGGGCUCAACCCCGGAACUGCCUUUGAUACUGGCAUUCUCGAGUCCGGAAGAGGUGAGUGGAAUUCCGAGUGUAGAGGUGAAAUUCGUAGAUAUUCGGAGGAACACCAGUGGCGAAGGCGGCUCACUGGUCCGGUACUGACGCUGAGGUGCGAAAGCGUGGGGAGCAAACAGG